AUUGUAUUUCUAUUAGUCAGCACUUGUAUGGAGAAGAGAGAUUUUUUAAAUGCCUUAAAGGAGAAGAAGCUUUUGCUUCUUGGGCUACCCAGAAAGCUAGCCAGCUGCUAGUCCUUCAUCAGGAAAAUGGCAGUGUCAAUGUGCUGUAGUCAGCCCCUGAUGUCACAUUUUGCUGCUUGUGACUUACUGUGUUUGACCCAUCUCAGCUGCUCCAUAAAUAUGUGUUGAAUUGAUAUUGACUUACAGUUGCAUUUCACUGGCUUAUGAAUCAGGAAUUUUGAGUCCUGCCUUCAGCUCUGCCUCUAACUAGCUCUGUGACCUUGCACAAAUCACAUCCCCUUUACUUGUCUCAGUUUUUCCCUUUGUAAAAUGAGGGAAUUUAAUAUGGUGAUUAAAUAAUCUCCAGUUCAGACAUGCUGUGGUUCUAUCGUGUGGCUCUACCUGGCAGUUAGAAUUUCCAUUUCUAAAGUGGCACAGAAGUUUUUACUCUAAUCAAGAUGACUUUAGUUUGCAUGCGUCUGCCCCCUGUGACUGAUUAUUCCUUUUUUCGUGAAUAUGUUAACACAGUCAGCUUCUGGAACCUGCAAGGAACCACCCUUCUGUGAUCCUUACCUGGUGCGGAAGAUACUUGCAAAAGUUAAAUCGGCCCUUCAGGACAACGUAGAAAAGCGUAAGAAAGGAAGGAAAUCGACCAUACUGGUCUGUUACCGCAGACACAGCAAAAUGAAGACUGAAAAUCAGCUGAAGAUGAAGACGGAGGAAGAAAGCCUGUCCCCACUCUGGGCAACACCCUAUGCCUGCCAGGGGCCAAAGAUCUCAAAGUAGCUGGUACCUCCCCAGAAAAAGCACUGGCGAGACGGAUGCUUAGGUAGAGAUCAAAAUUUUCACGGUGGUCACCUGUGAGGAGACCAAAUGAAGUGCACGGAUAUUGAUUAAAACAACAAGUUGCAAAUGGAGAUGUGUGUAUGUGUCUUUGUGUUCUCUGAUGGUGAGAGGGGAAAGGAAAGGGGCAAGUGUAUGAAAAGGGAGG
rnacentral:lncRNA from 1 species